rnacentral:sRNA from 1 species
UAAAAAUAAUUCAUUUCUUUUCCUCAUAUGGAAAAAAAAUUCAACUCAUAAUUACUAGUGGAAAGAAAUUCUACUUCUUUACUCUACUAUAACUUUUCUUCUAAUUUCACUAGGCGGAGGUCAUGGCCCAUGGAUACCGUGAUGAAUAAACUGUUGGAAAACUACAUAAGAUGGUACAAAUUUUUGAAUCUAAAGCAUACAAAUGGUAAGGCUCUUCCAUGUGAUUAUAGAUACCGGUCCUUGUGCCUAUUCUACCAAGUUAUAUUCUCAUGUUGUCAGUCGUAUGUCACCGCAUAUAUUGAAGAAGAGAAGGACCAACACCGGAAACUAUAAUACACUGGACUCUAUCUUUUAGUCUGGAGAGAAACUGUAAACCUCAAAUUCAUGCCAAAAUGCCUUUGUUAUAUAUAUAUAUAUAUCCAUGAAUGGUUUUGGUUUAAAUUUUCCCUACUUAUGUCUUAGUCCAUGUUUAAUUUAUUUAUAUUCUCCAAAUCUAUAAAGAUGGCUUAUGAGAGGUUGGAGAUAUGGGGGAAUAACGUUAAUGAAGAGACAAGGGAGCUUAACAAACCGGCAUAUUGUGGAGAAAGGAAAGUUUUCUUGAAGAAACUAGUGACUACUACUUACCAGAGAAUAGCAACGGUUGCUUUCUUGGCCAUCUGCUCGAUUUUCUCUUCUCUAACUUGCUUCCGAUCCAAUUCUUACUCUCUUUAUUUUUCUAUUUUUAAGUUAAUUUAUGCACUACAUGAAGCCAAAAGAAGUGCAAGAGGGAAGCAUGUCGAGGGGAGAAACUAUGACGACUUAAACGAAUAAUUUUGGUACAAUGAAUAUGCAAUUAUGCAUCAUAGAUCAUAUUAUAGUAGCCUUUUCGAAGAUCUCAUAAGUCUUAACUUGAUAUCUUUUCCUUUGAAUUUGUAGGUCAACUGAAUAUUUCUACCUUGGGUGGCCUAUGCAAACUACUCAUACUUUGUUUUUAAGUUAUCUUAAAAAUUCAUC